rnacentral:tRNA from 1 species
AGAACAGAAUUUUACUUUGCAUGUAAUUAAAGAAUAUACACUAUAUUCCUGUUUUA